GCGGAAGUGGUGGAAUCGGCAGACACGCUAGCUUGAGGGGCUAGUCCUUUUACCGGGGUGGGGGUUCAAAUCCCCCCUUCCGCACCA
rnacentral:tRNA from 1 species